rnacentral:lncRNA from 1 species
CUUUGCAAUCUGAUCCUCCGCCUAAGGCACUUACAUCUUUUUUAACCAGAUCUUCCCAUCUCAUACGGGGGUCUUCCCAAAGGUCUCUUCCCAGCUGGAUCCUUCUCUAACACUAUACGUAGCAAGGGAUCCUGACUGCGCCACGCAUGUCCAGCCCACUUUAGUCUUCUACUCCUUAUUGUCUCCAAUAUAUUCGGUUUCUGGAAAAGUAGUCCUAGUUCAAUAAC